AGAGUUUGAUCCUGGCUCAGGAUGAACGCUGGCGGCGUGCCUAACACAUGCAAGUCGAGGGAGAAGGUUUACUUCGGUAAACUGGACACCGGCGAACGGGUGAGUAACGCGUAGCUAACCUGCCUUGAAGAAUGGGAUAACUACCGGAAACGGUAGCUAAUACCAUAUAAGCUCACGGGUUGUAGAAAUCAGUGAGAAAAGGUGAUUUAGCGCUUUAAGAUGGGGCUGCGUACCAUCAGCUAGCUGGUGAGGUAAAAGCUCACCAGGGCGACGACGGUUAGGGGACCUGAGAGGGUGACCCCCCACACUGGGACUGAGACACGGCCCAGACUCCUACGGGAGGCAGCAGUGAGGGAUAUUGCACAAUGGACGAAAGUCUGAUGCAGCGACGCCGCGUGAGUGAAGACGGGCUUCGGCCUGUAAAGCUCUUUUCUGUGUGACGAGAACGGACGGUAGCACAGGAAUAAGUCUCGGCUAACUACGUGCCAGCAGCCGCGGUAAAACGUAGGAGGCGAGCGUUAUCCGGAGUUACUGGGCGUAAAGCGCGUGCAGGCGGUAGAAUAAGUCUGUUAUGAAAGCUCCCGGCUAAACUGGGAGAGGUUGACAGAAACUAUUUUACUAGAGUGGAGAAGAGGUAAACGGAAUUCCGCGUGUAGUGGUGAAAUGCGUAGAUAUGCGGA
rnacentral:rRNA from 1 species